AAAUGAAUUGACGGGGGCCCGCACAAGCAGCGGAGCGUGUGGUUUAAUUCGAGGCAACGCGAAGAACCUUACCUGGGCUUGACAUGGCGGUGGUACUGAGGCGAAAGCCGAGGGACCCUUCGGGGAGCCGUCACAGGUGCUGCAUGGCUGUCGUCAGCUCGUGCCGUGAGGUGUUCGGUUAAGUCCGCGAACGAGCGCAACCCUUGCCGCCAGUUACAAGUGUCUGGCGGGACUGCCGGUGACAAACCGGAGGAAGGUGGGGAUGACGUCAAGUCAGCAUGGCCUUUAUGUCCAGGGCGACACACACGCUACAAUGGCCGGUACAAUGAGCAGCCAAGCCGCGAGGUGGAGCGAAUCUCCAAAGCCGGUCGUAGUUCGGAUUGCAGGCUGCAACUCGCCUGCAUGAAGUCGGAGUUGCUAGUAACCGUGGGUCAGCCACACUACGGUGAAUACGUUCCCGGGCCUUGCACACACCGCCCGU
rnacentral:rRNA from 1 species